rnacentral:misc_RNA from 1 species
AAGCUUUGUUCUUUUAAAGUGAAUAUUGAAGUGAAAC